rnacentral:rRNA from 1 species
GUUACUGCUAUCGGAGUUCGAUUAAGCCAUGCGAGUCUAAAGGUUUCUUCGGAAACCUUGGCGGACUGCUCAGUAACACGUGGAUAACCUACCCUUGGGACUGGGAUAACCCCGGGAAACUGGGGAUAAUACCGGAUAGAUCAGGGAUGCUGGAAUGCGCCUUGAUCCAAAGCUCCGGCGCCCAAGGAUGGGUCUGCGGCCUAUCAGGUUGUAGUGGGUGUAACGUACCUACUAGCCGACGACGGGUACGGGUUGUGAGAGCAAGAGCCCGGAGAUGGAUUCUGAGACACGAAUCCAGGCCCUACGGGGUGCAGCAGGCGCGAAACCUUUACAAUGUGCGAAAGCAUGAUAAGGGAACUCCGAGUGCCAGCAUCUAAUGCUGGCUGUCCUUGUGCCUAAAACGCACAAGAUAGCAAGGGCCGGGUAAGACCGGUGCCAGCCGCCGCGGUAACACCGGCGGCCCGAGUGGUAGCCGCUAUUAUUGGGUCUAAAGGGUCCGUAGCCGGUUCGAUAAGUCCUCUGGGAAAUCUGGUUGCUUAACAAUCAGACUGCCAAGGGAUACUGUCGAACUUGAGACCGGGAGAGGUAAGAGGUACUUCAGGGGUAGGAGUGAAAUCUUGUAAUCCCUGGGGGACCAUCUGUGGCGAAGGCGUCUUACCAGAACGGGUCUGACGGUGAGGGACGAAAGCUGGGGGCGCAAACCGGAUUAGAUACCCGGGUAGUCCCAGCCGUAAACGAUGCUCGCUAUGUGUCAGGUACGGUGUGACCGUAUCUGGUGCCGUAGGGAAGCCGUGAAGCGAGCCACCUGGGAAGUACGGUCGCAAGACUGAAACUUAAAGGAAUUGGCGGGGGAGCACUACAACGGGUGGAGCCUGCGGUUUAAUUGGAUUCAACGCCGGA